rnacentral:snRNA from 1 species
AUACUUACCUGGUGUCGGAGUUUCGCUGGUCAAGAUGGGCGUUAUAAUAAAUUCUCUUUACCAAGAUGGGCGAGCUCCCAGGGCGAGGCGCGAGCAUUGCACUGCGCUCGUGUUGACCCCUGCCACUACCCCAAACAGGGCAGAUGGGGCAUGCAAUUUUUGGUAGUGGGGGGACUGCGUGCGCGCUUUCCCCCC